CGGGACACGUGGUAUCCUGUCUGAAUAUGGGGGGACCAUCCUCCAAGGCUAAAUACUCCUGACUGACCGAUAGUGAACCAGUACCGUGAGGGAAAGGCGAAAAGAACCCCGGCGAGGGGAGUGAAAAAGAACCUGAAACCGUGUACGUACAAGCAGUGGGAGCACGCUUAGGCGUGUGACUGCGUACCUUUUGUAUAAUGGGUCAGCGACUUAUAUUCUGUAGCAAGGUUAACCGAAUAGGGGAGCCGAAGGGAAACCGAGUCUUAACUGGGCGUUAAGUUGCAGGGUAUAGACCCGAAACCCGGUGAUCUAGCCAUGGGCAGGUUGAAGGUUGGGUAACACUAACUGGAGGACCGAACCGACUAAUGUUGAAAAAUUAGCGGAUGACUUGUGGCUGGGGGUGAAAGGCCAAUCAAACCGGGAGAUAGCUGGUUCUCCCCGAAAGCUAUUUAGGUAGCGCCUCGUGAAUUCAUCUCCGGGGGUAGAGCACUGUUUCGGCAAGGGGGUCAUCCCGACUUACCAACCCGAUGCAAACUGCGAAUACCGGAGAAUGUUAUCACGGGAGACACACGGCGGGUGCUAACGUCCGUCGUGAAGAGGGAAACAACCCAGACCGCCAGCUAAGGUCCCAAAGUCAUGGUUAAGUGGGAAACGAUGUGGGAAGGCCCAGACAGCCAGGAUGUUGGCUUAGAAGCAGCCAUCAUUUAAAGAAAGCGUAAUAGCUCACUGGUCGAGUCGGCCUGCGCGGAAGAUGUAACGGGGCUAAACCAUGCACCGAAGCUGCGGCAGCGACGCUGAUGCGUUGUUGGGUAGGGGAGCGUUCUGUAAGCCUGUGAAGGUGUGCUGUGAGGCAUGCUGGAGGUAUCAGAAGUGCGAAUGCUGACAUAAGUAACGAUAAAGCGGGUGAAAAGCCCGCUCGCCGGAAGACCAAGGGUUCCUGUCCAACGUUAAUCGGGGCAGGGUGAGUCGACCCCUAAGGCGAGGCCGAAAGGCGUAGUCGAUGGGAAACAGGUUAAUAUUCCUGUACUUGGUGUUACUGCGAAGGGGGGACGGAGAAGGCUAUGUUGGCCGGGCGACGGUUGUCCCGGUUUAAGCGUGUAGGCUGGUUUUCCAGGCAAAUCCGGAAAAUCAAGGCUGAGGCGUGAUGACGAGGCACUACGGUGCUGAAGCAACAAAUGCCCUGCUUCCAGGAAAAGCCUCUAAGCAUCAGGUAACAUCAAAUCGUACCCCAAACCGACACAGGUGGUCAGGUAGAGAAUACCAAGGCGCUUGAGAGAACUCGGGUGAAGGAACUAGGCAAAAUGGUGCCGUAACUUCGGGAGAAGGCACGCUGAUAUGUAGGUGAAGCGACUUGCUCGUGGAGCUGAAAUCAGUCGAAGAUACCAGCUGGCUGCAACUGUUUAUUAAAAACACAGCACUGUGCAAACACGAAAGUGGACGUAUACGGUGUGACGCCUGCCCGGUGCCGGAAGGUUA
rnacentral:rRNA from 1 species